GGAGGGGUGCCCGCGCAGCGGGCGGGGUGGUUCGUGCGCAGCGCGCCCGCUUUCCAAAAGCGGUGCCCGCGCGGCGAGCAGUGUGGUUCGCGUCCCGUUCCCCUCCU
rnacentral:tRNA from 1 species